rnacentral:rRNA from 1 species
UGAGGAACAUGACCUUCGGCGGGGGAUAGCCGGCCCAACGGCCGGGUAAUACCGCGUACGACCACUUGAGGACAUCCUCGGGUGGUGAAAGCAGCAAUGCGCCGAUGAAGUGCCUCGCGGCCUAUCAGCUAGUUGGUGAGGUAACGGCUCACCAAGGCGACGGACGGGUAGCUGGUCUGAGAGGAUGGCCAGCCACAUUGGGACUGAGACACGGCCCAGCUCCGUAGGGAG